rnacentral:rRNA from 1 species
AGAUUAAGUUAUUAAGGGCGCACGGUGGAUGCCUUGGCACUAGAAGCCGAUGAAGGACGUUACUAACGACGAUAUGCUUUGGGGAGCUGUAAGUAAGCUUUGAUCCAGAGAUUUCCGAAUGGGGAAACCCAGCAUGAGUUAUGUCAUGUUAUCGAUAUGUGAAUACAUAGCAUAUCAGAAGGCACACCCGGAGAACUGAAA